GUGCCGCAGGUGGGUGGCAGCAAGGCCAUCCCUGUGUCCUGGUGUCCUCAUGCUGGGCUCGUCCAUGCUGCCGGCUGCCUCUGUGGGGCUGCCUGGGAGGCAGUGUGUGAGCUGUCAUGGCACGUCAUCACAUUUAGUGGUGGCGGCAGCGUGGGGUCUGCCAGCAGACAGCCCAGCCUGUACCUGGGGCGGUACAGGGAGCUACUGCAGCACCAGCAUGUAGAGCCUGCAGACACACACACAUGUCAGAGAACACAGUGUCCACCACCAGGCUGUGUUCAUCACCCACCUGUAAUCACCUUUAAAUGUGAGUUCAGCUACUUGGGAGCUCACAUUCAUUUCCCUUGGUGGGUCUCUAAUCAUGCUCCUGACAGUCACCCUCUUAACCACCCUUCUAUUUCUGGCAUGCAUGUCAAAGAUGACAGGAUAUUCAUCAGCCAGGAGUGAGGAUCAGCUCUGUCAGCUCCAGCGCUCCCUCCCAGCUCGCACUGCCAAGCACCAUCCGCACACUUCUUCCAUCAGCGCCAUCGCAAGUUUGACUGACACGGGUGUAUUAAUAACACAAGAGCCAAGAUCUCUUUUCCAUAAAGCUGCACUAAUUGACUCUGAUUACAUUUCCUCACUUCAGGACUGCUUCCACCAGUGCUGGCAGCUGCUGUCCCAUCCCUCGGUGCGGCUGGGUGCCAGAGGGGCUGCACUGACGCAGGACAUCCUGUUUACUUGCAGGCGGUGAUGGCAGGUCGUCAUCCCAGCACCUGGGGACGCCCAUUAAUGGGCUCCUCACCCACUCCUUUACACUCUGCCAUGUGUCAGAGCUGCUGAUUUGAAAAUCCAAGCUCUGCAGCUAUUGUUUAACACCUUCCUGAAGCUCUCGUAGGGUGGGAAGCGUUUUGUAGCUAUUAUAUUUUAUAGCGCACUGUAUUGUUUGGCUUUUGCCCUCCAAACGCUGAACAGAAAUUAUUGAGUACCUCUCCUUUAUACGUGAUUCGUCAUCCCCUGGAUGGGCUGGCAGAGGCUUUUUCUUGUGCUCACCGCUCCUUCCCUCAGCACAAUGUGCUCCCCGGUGUCAUGAACUCAAACCCUUUACCCCGCUCUAUUUGGGCAGC
rnacentral:lncRNA from 1 species